rfam:Aschersonia aleyrodis RCEF 2490 scaffold_38, whole genome shotgun sequence.
GGCCGCGUGGCCUAAUGGCUAAGGCGCUAGAUUUCGGUUUCCAUUUCCAAUCUCUAGAGAUUCCAGGUUCGACUCCUGGCGUGGUCG